CAAGGUUAAAACUCAAAUGAAUUGACGGGGGCCCGCACAAGCGGUGGAGCAUGUGGUUUAAUUCGAUGCAACGCGAAGAACCUUACCUACUCUUGACAUCCAGAGAACUUANCAGAGAUGNNUUGGUGCCUUCGGGAACUCUGAGACAGGUGCUGCAUGGCUGUCGUCAGCUCGUGUUGUGAAAUGUUGGGUUAAGUCCCGCAACGAGCGCAACCCUUAUCCUUUGUUGCCAGCGNUUNGGUCGGGAACUCAAAGGAGACUGCCAGUGAUAAACUGGAGGAAGGUGGGGAUGACGUCAAGUCAUCAUGGCCCUUACGAGUAGGGCUACACACGUGCUACAAUGGCGCAUACAAAGAGAAGCGACCUCGCGAGAGCAAGCGGACCUCAUAAAGUGCGUCGUAGUCCGGAUUGGAGUCUGCAACUCGACUCCAUGAAGUCGGAAUCG
rnacentral:rRNA from 1 species